CUCAUGAUGUGCUGAGUCAGUGUUCGUGGUGACUUUGCAGAACGUAACUACCGCGAUCAUGAGAAUCAGGUGUUGUAUUUGGAUAGCAAUGAACAAAGUUUCUGUCAAGAAAAUGUCUUACAGAAGUUGAACAGGAUGGUUUCAAGAAAGUGAACAGACUAUGGGUGAGCCUGGGUGCUGUGAGAUGCCAAACCUGGGGAAGAAAACAGAAGCCGUCAUCCGGCUGCCAGGCAUUCUUCCUCGGGCCCUUUCUGAUAGGGCAUGCAGGGACCCCAGACCCUGCCACCUUUGUCCGGAAGAGCUGGCCUCGGAGGGACAGAGACUCUGAGCCUGCGUCCCAGGAAGAAAGUCACAGGGCUAGAAUUCUGUCGUCUAAAACCUGCCUCAUGGAAGCCCGUGGAAAAAACUGCCUGCGGAAGAGACGAGGUUGUGAGCGCUUAUAGCACAGAUGGAGCAGAGUGACCACAGCUGAGGGAAAACAAUGAACUUUAUGUUCUUCCAGAACAAAUUACACACUCCCCCCAGCCCAUAAAGGCUUUUUAUGUAACUGCAGUCAGGCAAUACCUGGGCAGGGAGCGACUGCGGGGGAUCCCACAUCCCUGCGCGGCUCUUGCCUCGGGCAGCCCCACCACGCCCCUCCCAGCACCCAGGGUGUCUCGGCCCUGCCCAGCCGGGACCCACCUCGCAGGCCCUUUUUCCCACCGGGAUUCAGGCGUUUCAUGCUGACUUGGGCCCUCGGGGGCCACGGGCCAAGGGAGGAGGGAGGGGCAGGCACCUCGCCAUGGAAGCUGGUCUCUGGAGGAGCCCCCAGCCUGGCAGGGCGCUGGGUGAGACAGGUGGCUGGCCACCAGCCGUGGUGGCGAGGAACAGCGUGGGCUGCAGCGCCCUCACCAUAACCGAUGGCGACAACUGAGGCAGGCCCAGGACUUAGAAAUUAGCAUUCAAAAUGUACAGCCUAAACACCCUGCACCAAAAGCCCAGCCUGCUCUCUAGGCGUUCCAUCAGCCGUCCAUGCUGAAAUGUCCUUCAACCUCACCGCCCCCUGCAAGCCCUCCCGCUCUCCAGCCGUGCGCAGGCAGGCCACGGUCCCCCCCACCUGUGUCUCGUGUGACAACAAAGCAGAGGAGGAAAGGGAGGGGCUGAGCUUGUCACGGGGGGGUGGGGGCCUGCGACACAAUAGCGCGCAGUCCUAGCUGCUUUAUUGAGGAUACUGUGUUGAAUAAACCAAUGACUAAGAGAG
rnacentral:lncRNA from 1 species